UGGAUAACACUUCUUCCCACAGAUGUUAGUUACAGUUGUAGUCUCAGGAGAUACAGAAGGAGAUGAUCAAGCUCUUGGUGCUUGUGCUUUGCGUGAGUGCACUGGUCGAGGCAGGGUGGACACGUGAACGUAGGCGUUUCGUCGAAGAACAGGAGUGCACCACGUCAGCAGCGGGACAUGUGUUCUGCGACAGAUACUGCAGGAAAGCUGUGGACGCUGGUGGAGGCGGUUGCAGUCAUGGAGUCUGCGUGUGUUCCUCGUACUGAAUCGCCACCACACCAGAAUCUGAGCUGUAGAGGAUAACACGAGGAUUCACGAAGAACAGUGCAAUUGACGGAGGCGAUGACGAUAAUUAUAGGAAGCACAGUUCAAUUAAAACACAUCAAAUGCA